UAAACACAGGUUCCUUUACGAUCACCGAAGUUAAGCAACGUCGAGCCUGGUCAGUACCUAGAUAGGUGACUACUUGAGAAUACCAGAUGCUGUAAG
rnacentral:rRNA from 1 species